CGAAGGGGCCCCAGUGACAGAGCCAUUCACAAGCACGGGCCAUAAAUGACCGAGUUGAACGCCACAUUAAGCACCGCAUUCUCACGAAGCAGGACGGAGCAAAGCCAAAAUGCCAGGAACAAAAGGUAAUAAGUCGGACAAGAAGUCAGCUACCAAGCAACCUCAGAGUCCUAAAGAGCAGCCGAAGAAAGUUGAUCAGAAAGGAGAUGACAACAAGAAGCAAGGAGGACAGCCGAAGGGAGAGAAGCAAUAACUUCCAGGCGUUUGUGAAGAUGGCGCUGGAGACGCUGCUGGGGUCCUGCCGUCGUAAACACGGGAGCCCCCGGGGCAGGCAGGGCUGAGCGCACUGUGACCCCGGAGCCCGCAGACUGGGCUGUUGUGCUUCAAACACAGCAUCUGCUCACCUCUCACAGAGGCAGCACGUGAACCUGAUCUCCAUCCAUCACCAUCUGUUGUUCAACCCCUGCCCCCCCCGCCCCCCACUGGUUUAAAGGAUGCUCAGGAUUAGACUCCAGGUGAAACCGGACGAUUGCUCUGAGCAACAACAAAAAAACAUUUUGUCCUCCCUUAAUUAACAAGCCCCCCCCCUCACCACGACCGACUGUCUAACA